GGAACGGUGCCCGAGAGGCUAAAGGGAGCAGACUGUAAAUCUGCCGUCGAUUGACUACGAUGGUUCGAAUCCGUCCCGUUCCACAA
rnacentral:tRNA from 1 species